CCCGCUGAACUUGAGCAUAUCAAUAAGCAGGAGGACAAGAAACUAACAAGGAUUCCCCUAGUAACUGCGAGUGAAGCGGGAAAAGCUCAAAUUUAAAAUCUGGCGGGCUUUGGCUGUCCGAGUUGUAAUUUAGAGAAGCGGCUUCCGUGCUGGACCGUGCACAAGUCUCCUGGAAUGAAGCGGCAUACAAGGGAGAGAAUCCCGUCUUUGGCACGCAUGCCCGGUGCUUCUGUGAUGCGCUCUCGAAGACUCGAGUUGUUUGGGAAUGCAGCUCAAAAUGGGUGGUGAACUCCAUCUAAAGCUAAAUAUUGGCUAGAGACCGAUAGCUAACAAGUACCGUGAGGGAAAGAUGAAAAGCACUUUGGAAAGAGAGUGAAACAGUACGUGAAAUUGUUGAAAGGGAAACGCUUGAAGUCAGUCGCGUCUACCGAGACUCAGCCUUGCCUCGGCUUGGUGUACUUCUCGGCACGACGGGUCAGCAUCAAUUUUGAGCCUCGGAUAAUGGCGGGGGAAAGGUGGCACCUUUACGGGUGUGAUAUAGUCUUCUGUCGCACGCGAGGAGUGGGAGUGAGAAACUCAGCGGGCUCUUCAGUGUCCCGGCGUCGGCCCACGGCACGUCGCUAGGAUGCUGUCGUUAUGGCUUUAAACGACCCGUCUUGAAACACGG
rnacentral:rRNA from 1 species